rnacentral:tRNA from 1 species
GCGCUUGUAGCUCAAUUGGAUAGAGCAUCGGAUUGCGGAUCCGAAGGCUGGGGGUUCGAGUCCCCCUGAGCGCGCCA